UACGUAGGGUGCGAGCGUUGUCCGGAAUUACUGGGCGUAAAGAGCUUGUAGGCGGUUCGUCGCGUCGAUCGUGAAAACUUGCAGCUCAACUGCGAGCUUGCGGUCGAUACGGGCGGACUAGGGGUACUGCAGGGGAGACUGGAAUUCCUGGUGUAGCGGUGAAAUGCGCAGAUAUCAGGAGGAACACCGGUGGCGAAGGCGGGGUCUCUGGGCAGUAACUGACGCUGAGAAGCGAAAGCGUGGGUAGCGAACAGG
rnacentral:rRNA from 1 species